CAGCAUCUGUGGCGUGCUUACCGUGUGUCAGACAUACAAUCACACGUUUAGCCCACAUAACAAUCCUAACAUAAUCACACACCUAGCUCUCCAGCCCCCUUACCUGAGUGGAAUUGAUGGUAUGGACGGCAAAGGUUUUUUGUUGUUGUUUUUUCUUUUUACUAUUAUUAUUAUUGUAGAUGGACACAAUACCGUUAUUUAUUUUUAUGUGGUGCUGAAGAUCCAACCCAGGGCCUCAUGUGUGAGGCAAGCACUCUACCACUGAGCCACAACCCUAGCCCAUGGCAAAGGAUCUUGAUAAGACAUGAUUCCUGGACUGAAGUUUGUCAUCUAUUUGAGUUAUAACAAAUAAAAAAGAAGUUUUUAACUACACAAGAAUUCUUAUUAGUAGCGGGGCAUAACAGAGCUUGUCUGUAAUCCUACCGGGCUUAGGAGAUUGAGGCAGGAAGAUCACAAGUUCAAAGCCAGCUCAAGAACUCAGCAAGACACUGUCUCAAAAUAAAAACAAAGGGCUGGGGGCAUGGCUCAGGGGUUAAGUAUCUCUUGAGUUCAAUCCCUGGUAACCUUCCCUCCCCCCAGGGGAAAAAAAUUUAGAGGGAACCUAUUACAUUAAAUACCUUGUUCACAUUGAGCUUUGAUACACUCAAAAUGAUGGAAUUGAGCAGCUUCUGAUUCUGUUUGAAAAGAGGGUGAAAAUAAAUUUUACUAGGUUAAUGAUGAAGAAAUACCUUGACCUAAAAGUACAAGAAUUAGUUCACAUAUUUAAAAACUCAAAACCUUUUAUUUUAUGUUUUAUAUAUUUGAGCAUAUUAAAGAGUAAAUGAAUUAAGGUCUUUGCCAAAGGAAUUCAUUGUUAUGUAGUGUGUUAUUUGAGAGCUGAAAUGCCUAGCAUUGGGUUAAAAACAGGUCUUAGGCAAAGUAAAUUCUGGGGUUUAGUUUCCUUAGCAUGUAGAACAAGAAUGAUAGUAGAAGCUAGAGAUUACUGUGGAAGUUUGUGAAAAAUUAAGGUAAAAUAUUUGACGCAAUAAGAUGUCAGUAAACAUUACCUGUUGUUUGCUAUUAAUGAGAUAAACAAAUACUUUUCUAUGUGACUUUCCCCUUUUUUGUUAAAUGUAAGAAUGAGGGUUUUUUUGGGGGGGGGGCAAGUUUCCUCUUCAUAUGCUAGCUGCUAAGUUGUUGUAGCUUAAAGGCAAUUUGUGAUAAUUGUCUAUUAUAAACAAGUUCAGGGUUUUAAAAGGUAACAUGUUUUUUAUUUCAUACAUGAAGUCCAUUUCUUCUUUUUUGUAUAAUUUUUAAAUUAGACACAAAUGCCAGACCCUAAGACCUUCAAGCAGCACUUUGAAAGCAAGCAUCCUAAGACUCCACUUCCUCCAGAAUUGGCCGAUGUUCAGGCAUAAAGUUGUUUACAGGUAAUUGACCUUUUUUUUUUGUCUGUCAAUUUUCAGACUUAAAUACAAGAGCAAAACUAACUUCUUCAACUGUGAGGUUAAUUUCUGAUUUCUGAGUCUUUAUUACUACUUCUUUUUAAUGUUUAACUUCGUUACUAGAACCUAACAAUUGUACUUAUAGUUUACUAGAAUGUUUUAUAAUUAUCAAAAGUUUUUUUCCUCAGAUCACUUCCUUUGAAACAUCCCAAGUUUUUACUACUGUACCAAAAUGGGGUCGGGGGUGGGGGAAUGAGUGAAUAUUGGCCAUCUCUAGCUCAAGAAUGAAAGACUUAUCAGCUGCAAGAAAAUAGUUAUUUCUAAGGUUUUUAAGGGCCUUCCUCCCAAAAAUGAUGCAAACCAAUUUCCUGAGCACAUUUUUACAGUUAUUUUUAUUUAAUGGUGCUUAGCAGAGCUUCUAAAUAUUAAAUAUAGUAUAAAAUGUAGGCAUACACUAAAACCUUUUUUGAAAAUAAUCAGUUUACACUUUUUAUGUGCUUGGAUUUUUUACCCCUAAAUGGUGUGUGUGGUCUUUCAUUUUAGACAUUUGAAAUGCAUUAUUAACUUGGAUUUGUACAAUGGGUAUGUUCACUGAAAUUUUCCUUAUGUUUUAUAGGUGAAUUCAUGACACCUUUGACUCUUCUACUGUCUCAGACCUUAGGUAACAAACCUGCAGCUGCUUUUCUAACAAACUGUUGAUCAGCAAAAAUAAAGGGGCUACAGAAACACUCAUUUUUAUGCUGUUCCCUUUUGGGCUUCAUGCAAAGACAAUUCUGUGUAAAUGUACAGUUGACUCUGAUUUGGAAAUCUGAAAAUCAGUCCAUCCUUGUUAUAAAAAUUUUUUUAUAAUUGUAAUUAUAUUGAUGUUCAUAUUGUGUAAAAUAACUCAUCUAAUAAAGUAGUACUUUGAUUUUACAACAUCACAGGAUAAAUGGUUCUACAGAUUCUGUUCUAACUUUCCUUAUUUGCCUUAUAAAAAUCUAAUGAAUUCAGCAGCUAGAAUUACAAACGCAACUUUUAUCUCCCUUUCUCAGCUCAGUGCAGGUUCCUUAAACUAAAGCAGACUCAUUCAUUUAAAUUGUGCAUGUAAUUUUGUUGGCAGCUGAUGAUUUAGGUAAAGAAUGACUUUAUCUGCUGCCUUAGAAUAUUGUAAAGUAUCAUGCCCCCAAUGAUCAUUUCACAUGUUUAGAAUUGACAAAUCUAAAUUUCCUGUAUGAAUUGAUUGGGUAUAGCUACCAGUCAGGGGUACCCUGUAGAAAACUAAUACAUUUGUAAAAACAAUUGGAUUAUCAGUGAGCCCUUCUAAAAAAUAAGUUUCUGAAGUAUAUGUCAAAACAAAAAUAAUCAUUAGUCCUAUUGUUUAAUAGAAAAUAUGAUGGAACAAAUGUGAACUGGUAAAAAGAUUUUUUUAUAAAUUAUAGUGGAUUUAUUUGCAAAUUGUUCAAGCUCUUUAAUUUGAAAUUGAAGCAUAAUUUUUGAAGGAGUUUUAGGAAGUUAUUAAUUAUUUGGCCAAUUUUAUGAAUGAAUUUUUGCAUUAACAGGAAUUGGAAUUAUUUGUGAUUGGUUAAUUCCCAGAAUCCUCUCUAUUGAAACAUUGAAUUUAGGAAUUAGCAUUCUGGUUGUUCCUAAAAUCAGACCAUGUAUUAUAGUAUGACUUCCAUUCAAACUAGAAAAGUAUUAAAAUCAACCAGUAUGCUCAAUCUUGGGGAUUAAGGAUGGGAGGUGCUUUUGUUCAGUUGGAUAAAGUAAAUGCUACCCAGUUAAGGAAAACUCAACUUUAGUGUUCUUUUAAUUUGCUUUUGUUGACUAUUAACUUGUACAAAUGAAACUGCUGUAACUCAGUUUAAAUUUUAAAAUUAACAUAAUAGGAAGAACACUAAAAUAUUUACUGCUAACUGCUUAGAGCCGCAUAUCUGAUCCUGUGGAUUACAAAAUGCAUUCCCUCCUUCUGCUGUAACUCAUUGCUGCAUUUGUUUUGUAGCUCCACAUACUCUGCCCACCUUGUUUGUCUUCACUGUAAGUUUAAAAUAAGAUGUUUGCAAGGAAAAGCUCCAGUGCUGAUAGUUUCUUAGCAACUCCUAUUCUUAGACCCUUAUUUUUAAAAUACAGUUCUUUUGUUUCAUGUAUUUAAUUUCCUAAGUUUCAGACUUAAUGUUGUUUCCUAAUAUGUCAAUUGCCAGAACAUUAGUUCUACCUAAUUUCUUGUGGUGGUUAUUGUAGAAGUUCUGGUUAAAGUACAAUUUAUAAGUUUUUGAAAGUGCUUUGAGCAUAUGUGUGUUUAUUUUUAGUAACAAAUCAUUUAAAACCCAUUCACAAAUUUUGGUUUAAAUUUUUUUUCAUUUGUUUUACUGACUGUAAUUCAGAAUAAAAUUUUUUGUUCUUGUAUUUAACCCUUUUUUUUUUAUAAGCAGCUGAAGACACCAUAUUUAACUCUCUAUCUCAGUGAUAGGGAAAUAGUCGGAUUGAUCUUAUAUAAGACAUUAAUUCUCAAUAUGGGGAUUAUUAGUACAAUCCCCUUUUUGUGUUUUCGGUUAAAUCUGCUAUAAGAAAAAAAAUUCCAAGUCUUAAAUAUCUUUGUUUAUUUAAUUUGAAGAUUCUUUAACAGAUAACAGCAAAGUUUAUUUAAAAACUGUUAUGGUGUCUUCAAAGACUUGAUAAAAUACACUGAGAGAAUUGCCAUUCUGUAUUUACAUUAGUUGCCAAAAGAAACGGGGUUAAGAUUAAACUUGUUUCCAUUCUCUUCAAAUGGAUAUCCCCAUGUUUAAUUGACACACUGGGGCCUCAGUUGUGUGCUGUAAUGUCUUAUUAAAGAAGAUAUUAAAGAAAACUAAACUAGUCUAAUUUCUUUUAACAUUUUAAGAGGUUUUGAUAUUGCCUCUUUUUAUUUCUUCCUUUCUAAACUUAGAAGAAUUGUCUCUUGAGUGUAGCUUGAGUUCUAAGAACGACAAGAGAUGUCUUUCAUUUUUCAUUGUUUUUCUUACAUUCUUUUGUGUAUUUGGGGUCUGUAGAAUACUUCUUAAGAAUGAACAGAAAGAGUUUAUCAUUCUGAAACCUUGCAAGUUAGAAUAAGUGAGUUGUUGGAAGGGGGACGUAAUUACUGUUAACAUAAAGAUAAUACAAAACAAAAAAUACUUAGAUCAAUUAAUUGAACUAGAUGGAUAAGUCCUUGAUGACCUUGAUUUCCAUUUUAAGAUAAUACUUUUGGUUUUGUAUUAAAGACACUACAUAGAUAAUAAUCACAUCAUAAUUCAAACCUGAGAUGCAGCAUGAAUAAGGUAAAAUUUACAAACAUUACUCCCCCCCACACACACCCAUUCCUUAUUUUUCAUUCUUGUAAUACUUGGAACAUACUUGGCCUAUAAUUCCAGGGACUUUGGAGGCUGAGGCAAGAGAUUGCAAGUUCAAAACAACUUAGGCCCUAAGCAGCUUAGUGAGACCAUGUCUCAAAAAAGGGAUGUGGGUAUGUGGCUAAGUGGUUAAGUGCUCCUGGGUUCAAUUCCUAGUACCAAAUAAUAAUGUGGCUGGUGUAAAGGACUGUUCCCUAAUACAUGAUCAAUCACACUCCAAACUAUAAUUGAAAUGUUAUAUUUAAACCACUCAGUCUGAAAUGAUUUGUACUAGAUUUCUAGUUUGGGGGUUUGUUUAAGAGUGUAUGGUAGUAAAGAUCAACACUAGGGGGUUGUGUUUACUGUGACUUUGCACUCUGAAAUAGUUCAAAGUAGCUUAAUUUUCAUAGAAAUUUUAAAAAUAUAAGACCAUUCAUUGUGCAGAUUUGAUAAAACAUCUAUUUGAAAGAAUAGAUGUUUUAUUAAGAAAAGUUCAUCCUGUCAUUAAUUGUGUA
rnacentral:lncRNA from 1 species